rnacentral:lncRNA from 1 species
UGCCGUACGAGCCCUCCCCGAGCAGGUCCCCCAUCAGGUACUUGCCGAUGAGCUUGGCGCGCUUGCGGCGCGGCUGGUAGAUCACCUCGGUGGAGUCGAUGCGGUGGAUGAAGGUGUCCAUGCCCACCGACAUUAGCUCGCCCUCGGGGAACAGGCCCAACGGCUGGGGGUCAGCCACGUCCAUCCUGGCCCACUCUUUGUCCUCGUCCCCUUCGGGAGCGCCAAUUCUUUUCAAGUUCAAAUUUCCCCCACCCGCUUCUUCCAAAUGUUCAAGAAGGGGAAAAAAAGGAAUGGGGGGGGGGGAAGGAACGACCUCCACAACCCUCCCGGUCCCCACAACCGGGUCCACGUCCGUUUCCUGGGCGCCAAUUCUUCACUUUUGAUUUUCCCCUUUUCUUCUAGGUGCUCAGGGAGAAAAAAAAUGAAAAUAAGAAUAAAAAAAAAAAAAGCAAUGAGCCCCCCCAACCCUCGCGUCCCCCUAAUUCGGGUCCCCGGGGACGCUGCUUCCGACGGAGGCGACGGUCCGCCGUCGCGGCGCGCGGGCCGCUAGGUCAUGGUCGCCACUUGGGCCCCGCGCUCAGGGGCCCAGGCGGCCGC